CGAUUGCAAACUUGCUGCACGAUGGAGCGACAAACGUAACGGUUUUUUUGGCGGUGCUGGACGAAUUUUCGAAUUGAUCUCGUGACAACUAUAUGUUCCUGACAUUUCCGAGUGUUCCGAAGCUCGAGAUUGAUUAUCCUGAAAGACACGAGCCGUUAUGUGAAUAAUAUCUUACUUCAUGCAAUUGAAGAACAUUACAACGUAGAUAUGAUCAUUCUGAACAGUUCGGUAUCAUAUAAUGAAUUGAAUAUUGAUGAACUUACCUGCAUUCGAUAAAAGCAGUGGAAUCGAGUCGUGAGGAGCGCCUUCGUUGCGAUUGCAACUGUCCCUGUGAUUGAUGAAAAUCUAAGCUCGCGGUUGAGCGUGUUAAUUGAAAAUUCGUCAACGAUACGCCCUUCUGACGACUUCGGGAUUUUUGGUGGCCGUUUGUCGCACUAUCCGAUGAAAAAUCAAGCAAUUCCUUCGGAUUACGAGAAUCUUGAACGAAUGUUCGUCCUUGAUCGGUUUGACGCGUUCGUACGAUCCCGAACCUGUUCCUCGAGAUAUCCGAUUCUGUGUGUAAGCCUGAGAUUAUCGGAUCUCAAUGUGCGAAGUGCAGCGAGUGAUUCGCUCCUUCGUAAAACAACGAUUUGCGCAGCGUCCGGUGCAACGGCGAGAAGCCUCGUUAAAUCGUUUCUACCAGCACCAACUACGAUUUUACCGUUGACUUCUAAAAUCCUGGUGAACAAUAAUCGAUAACUUGAGUUAAACAGAGUAUGAAUGAAUUCUGGAUGAAUAAUGAUGAAACCGCAAUGCAAUCACAAAGUUUGGUCAAUCAACUAAUAAAUUUGACUCAAUAAAAUGAUAAUACUGUAUUGAUUGGUCGAUACUAAACUUAACUUAUAAAUUUAAAUUUUCGUGAUUAAAAACAAUUUUUAGCAUAAGUAUUGACUCGUUUGAUAAAUCUAGACUAAUAAAGUUAUAUGUAUGAGAAAAAUUUGGUGGUCUCAAAGAACUCUUUUCGAGGAAUAGAGAAUCACAAUCCAAGACAUAUAGAACAAUUAUUUCUCGAGAAAUAUACGUGUUUUAAGGCUUGACGAGUGCACUCGGCGUUAUAAGGGGUCAUGUGAAGUUGCAGUUGCAAUUAGCGGGGGCAGGCCGCGGACUUCCGGAGCUUAUUGUGUGUUUCAUCAGUUAAUACAGUACGAGAAAUUUACGGAGCGAAGAAAAGGCUUCGAUUCUCGUUAUCUUGCGGGUGAAAUCAUCAACAUGAGCCUUUUUGUUUGUAACUUCGUAUAUUUACGAAUAAAUGUGUAUGGUGCGAGCUUCACGGUACAGAGAAUCACGAGAGAACGCGAACGCCGAGAUUGGCCAUUGUUCUUCCUCAAUCCACGCUCGUAGGAGUGCGCGAGAUCGCCUCGUGUUUACCUCGCCCAUUUUCUUCUUUUUCCUCUAUAUAUACUAUCUUAAUGUUCUUAAGUGUAUGCAUAAAAGUGACGUUUGGGCUGCGGGAAACGGCGACAAGUGCAUUCUCUAUUUUUCGUAACGUUAUAACAAAAUUAUGAGCUAAAAUAAUUUUUGUAAAAAAACAAAUUAUUGGAUCCGAUUGCAAACAAAAGAAAUCGACAACGAGAUAAAAAAGGAUCGAAUGAUAUUUCGACUCUAUUAGAACAUGUCGAGGGUUUUGUGGACACACACAUGCGAUCGCGCACACGAAUGGAAAGAGUUUUUAGAACGGAUGUGAGAAACUGCGGACAAGGCCUCCAAAACCGGGCAUUCCACAAUAAUCGUGAUCAAGACAGCUCGCGUGUGGGCCCGAAGAGAAAAAAAGAUAAGUCGAGAAUCAGUUAUGAACUACUUUUUUCGCAAGAAAUUUAUUUUCUCUUUUACCAAAAAAAAAAAAAAUUGACUACUUAAAUAAGAUUGGAAUGUAAAAAAUUCAAAAUCAGAAUAAUCAUAGUAAAUUAAUGAUUAAUUGUUUCGGGCAUUUUUUAAUUCAUACUUUUUUUUACUUCGAGAAAAAUGUAAAAAUUUAAAAAAUGCCUUUUCACCUGUCUCCUUUACAUAAACCUGAAUCCUCCACUGCCCAAUCGACAUAAAGACCCACAGCACCGUCUCGCGGGCCAGCUCCAAAACGAGGACUUUUCGGAUCGGCACUGACCUCCACAGCAUGAACAGUCAUUUGGGUACCGCCAGAAAUACAGCUAUAAAAUGACCAUCGAAUAUUUGUUAUAUAAAUAAUCAUGUA